AGUGAACGCUGGCGGUAGGCCUAACACAUGCAAGUCGAACGGCAGCACAGUAAGAGCUUGCUCUUACGGGUGGCGAGUGGCGGACGGGUGAGGAAUACAUCGGAAUCUACUUUUUCGUGGGGGAUAACGUAGGGAAACUUACGUUAAUACCGCAUACGACCUACGGGUGAAAGCAGGGGAUCUUCGGACCUUGCGCGAUUGAAUGAGCCGAUGUCGGAUUAGCUAGUUGGCGGGGUAAAGGCCCACCAAGGCGACGAUCCGUAGCUGGUCUGAGAGGAUGAUCAGCCACACUGGAACUGAGACACGGUCCAGACUCCUACGGGAGGCAGCAGUGGGGAAUAUUGGACAAUGGGCGCAAGCCUGAUCCAGCCAUGCCGCGUGGGUGAAGAAGGCCUUCGGGUUGUAAAGCCCUUUUGUUGGGAAAGAAAAGCAGCAGGUUAAUACCCCGCUGUUCUGACGGUACCCAAAGAAUAAGCACCGGCUAACUUCGUG
rnacentral:rRNA from 1 species